rnacentral:rRNA from 1 species
UUUUUUAUCCUGGCUCAGGACUAACGCUGGCGGCGUGUCUUAGACAUGUAAGUCGAACGGGUCUCUAUCCUGUAGCAAUACAGGGUAGAGCUAGUGGCGAACGGGUGAGUAAUACAAAAGUAAUCUACCUCGGAGUGGGGUAUAAUCCCGCGAAAGCGGGACUAAUUCCCCAUAUUCUCCUAAAACGUCGGUUUUAUGAGGAAAGGCUUCGGUCGCUCUGAGAUGAGCUUUUGGCCCAUCAGCUUGUUGGUGAGGUAACGGCCCACCAAGGCGAUGACGGGUAGGGGGUGUGAGAGCAUGUCCCCCCACAUGGGAACUGCGACACGGUCCCAACUCCUACGGGAGGCAGCAGUCUAGAAAUUUGCGCAAUGGGCGAAAGCCUGACGCAGCGACGCCGCGUGAGGGAUGGAGUCCUUCGGGAUGUAAACCUCUGUUGAGGGGGACGAUUAUGACGGUACCCCUCGAGGAAGCCUCGGCUAACUCCGUGCCAGCAGCUCGCGGUAAUACGGAGGAGGCAAGCGUUGUCCGGAAUCACUGGGUGUAAAGGGUGUGUAGGUGGCCUGAUGGGUCAGGUGUGAAAUCUGGUUGCUUAACAACCAAACCGCAUUUGAAACUAUCGGGAUCGAGGGCAUGAGAGGAGAGUGGAACUCGCGGUGUAGCGGUAGAAUGCGUGGAUAUCGCGAGGAAUGCCGAUGGCGAAGGCAGCUCUCUGGUGUGCUCACCGUAUGGUGAAUCGGCCAAUGAUGUCUUCGGAUUGAGUUGGCCGGUCCUGACACUGAAACACGAAAGCUGGGGGAGCAAACGGGAUUAGAUACCCCGGUAGUCCCAGCCCUAAACGAUGUACACUUGGCAUAUGCGAUUUCGUAUGUGCCGGAGGUAACCUGUUAAGUGUACCACCUGGGGACUACGCUCGCAAGGUCGAAACUCAAAGGAAUUGACGGGGGCCCGCACAAGCAGCGGAGCAUGUCGUUUAAUUCGAAGCAACGCGAAGAACCUUACCAGGGCUUGACAUCCUCCGAAUCCCGUAGAAAUACGGGAGUGCCGCAAGGAGCGGAGAGACAGGUGGUGCAUGGUUGUCGUCAGCUCGUGUCGUGAGAUGUUGGGUUAAGUCCCGCAACGAGCGCAACCCUUGUGAUCAGUUACCAGCGGGCAAUGCCGGGGACUCUGGUCAGACUGCCGGGGAUAACUCGGAGGAAGGUGGGGACGACGUCAAAUCAUCAUGCUCCUUAUGUCCUGGGCUACACACGUGCUACAAUGGCCGCCACAAAGGGAAGCGAGGUCGCAAGGCCAAGCGAAGCCGAAAAAAGCGGUCCCAGUUCGGAUUGAGGGCUGCAACCCGCCCUCAUGAAGUCGGAGUUGCUAGUAAUCGCGAAUCAGCAUGUCGCGGUGAAUACGUUCCCGGGCCUUGUACACACCGCCCGUCACACCAUGGGAGUUGGGAGAACCCGAAGCCAGUGAGGCAA